rnacentral:rRNA from 1 species
UACGUAGGGUGCAAGCGUUUGUCCGGAAUUAUUGGGCGUAAAGAGCUCGUAGGCGGUUUGUUGCGUCGGCUGUGAAAUCCCGAGGCUCAACCUCGGGUCUGCAGUCGAUACGAGCAAACUAGAGUGUUGCAGGGGAGACUGGAAUUCCUGGUGUAGCGGUGAAAUGCGCAGAUAUCAGGAGGAACACCGGUGGGCGAAAGGCGGGUCUCUGGGCAACAACGUGACGCUGGAGGAGCGAAAGCCGUGGGGAGCGAAACAGG